rnacentral:sRNA from 1 species
CCUGGGCCCUCCUGCUCCUUGCAGCCACGCUCCUGGGCAACCCAGCCCCUGCCUCCGCAUCUGUGUGGUGAAGGCCAUUGGCCCUCAUCGGUGGGUCUGCGUUUCCUCGGGCCUACACUGUCUAGGAUUGUGCAGGGCUGGUGAGAGAAUGAGACCUCUUCCGUGUUCAAGGCAGACUUCCUGCCCCCUGCACCCUGCUCUCUCCCAGGCCUUGGGGUCUGGUCUUCUCUCGUCUGAGCCCUGAGUACUAUGACCUGGCAACAGCCCACCUGUGUGACGAGGAGAAAUCCUGCCCGUGCCUGGCCCAGGAGGGCCCCCAGGGUGACCUGUUGACCAAAACACAGGAGCUGAGCUAUGACUGCAGAACCUGUCUGAGCAUAGUCCAAACACUGAAGGCUAUGGUGAAUCAGCCCACCCAGCAUCCUGGCACUGCAGGCUCACACUUAGCCCUGGAUACCCAGAUUCAUCCUCCUCCCCUGGGAUGGCAUAGAAGAGACUUUAAAAUCAAAUGAGCCAAGAUUCCAAGCUCUGAC